rnacentral:rRNA from 1 species
AUUGAACGCUGGCGGCAGGCUUAACACAUGCAAGUCGAGCGGAGAUGAGGUGCUUGCACCUUAUCUUAGCGGCGGACGGGUGAGUAAUGCUUAGGAAUCUGCCUAUUAGUGGGGGACAACAUUCCGAAAGGAAUGCUAAUACCGCAUACGUCCUACGGGAGAAAGCAGGGGAUCUUCGGACCUUGCUCUAAUAGAUGAGCCUCAGUCGGAUUAGCUAGUUGGUGGGGUAAAGGCCUACCAAGGCGACGAUCUGUAGCGGGUCUGAGAGGAUGAUCCGCCACACUGGGACUGAGACACGGCCCAGACUCCUACGGGAGGCAGCAGUGGGGAAUAUUGGUCAAUGGGGGAAACCCUGAUCCAGCCAUGCCGCGUGUGUGAAGAAGGCCUUAUGGUUGUAAAGCACUUUAAGCGAGGAGGAGGCUACUGAGACUAAUACUCUUGAAUAGUGUACGUUACUCGCAGAAUAAGCACCGGCUAACUCUGUGCCAGCCGCCGCGGUAA